rnacentral:rRNA from 1 species
GCACAACGAUGGAGCAUGUGGUAAUUUGAUGAUACGAGAGGAACUUACUGGCAAGUAUGUAUGGACCGUGGGUGAAAGCUCUUUGAAUCAAUACACCACCAGUAAGGUGUGCAUGGCGUCGUAGUUCGUGCCGUGAGGGUUGGGUUAAAUACCGCAACGAGCGCAACCCCUAUCUCUAGUUGCCAUCAGGUAAAGAUGGGAACUUUAAAGAAAAGCCGUCGCAAGAAUGAGGAAGGGGGGAGAGUCAAGUAUCAUGGCCCUUUUGCCCAGGGGUACCCACUGUACAAAGGGAGUACAAAGGAUGCCACUGCAACAAGGGGUAAUUCCAAAAAAAUCUUUUCAGUUCAGAUCGCGUCUGCAACUCGACUCCAUAAGCCUGAAU